rnacentral:rRNA from 1 species
AUACAGAGGGUGCGAGCGUUAAUCGGAAUUACUGGGCGUAAAGCGCGCGCAGGCGGUUUGGUAAGUCAGAUGUGAAAGCCCACGGCUCAACCGUGGAAGUGCAUUUGAAACUGCCAGACUUGAGUACCAGAGGGGAAAGUGGAAUUCCCGGUGUAGAGGUGAAAUUCGUAGAUAUCGGGAGGAAUACCGGUGGCGAAGGCGACUUUCUGGCUGGAUACUGACGCUGAGGCGCGAAAGCGUGGGGAGCAAACAGGAUUAGAAACCCUAGUAGUCC